rnacentral:rRNA from 1 species
CUAAUCGCAUCUUUCCCUUCGGGGACAGAAGUGACAGGUGGUGCAUGGUUGUCGUCAGCUCGUGUCGUGAGAUGUUGGGUUAAGUCCCGCAACGAGCGCAACCCUUGCCUUUACUUGCCAGCAUUAAGUUGGGCACUCUAGAGGGACUGCCAGGGAUAACCUGGAGGAAGGUGGGGAUGACGUCAAAUCAUCAUGCCCCUUAUGCUUAGGGCUACACACGUGCUACAAUGGGUGGUACAGAGGGCAGCCAAGUCGUGAGGCGGAGCUAAUCCCUUAAAGCCAUUCUCAGUUCGGAUUGUAGGCUGAAACUCGCCUACAUGAAGCUGGAGUUACUAGUAAUCGCAGAUCAGAAUGCUGCGGUGAAUGCGUUCCCGGGUCUU